CUCCUCUCCCUGUUGUGUGUACAAGGUCAUGGCCAUGUGUGCUGGCCCCUGCGGUUCUCCCAGGGUGAGACUUGUCCCUUGGACUCCAGGCAGGCUGACUCCUGAGAGUUUCCUGAAAUGCAGAAAACUCAACAGCACAAUUUUGUGGCAAUGGGGGAUGGUGUUCACACUCCCCCACC
rnacentral:snRNA from 1 species